GAUGAACGCUGGCGGCGUGCCUAAUACAUGCAAGUCGAGCGAACAGACGAGGAGCUUGCUCCUCUGACGUUAGCGGCGGACGGGUGAGUAACACGUGGAUAACCUACCUAUAAGACUGGGAUAACUUCGGGAAACCGGAGCUAAUACCGGAUAAUAUAUUGAACCGCAUGGUUCAAUAGUGAAAGACGGUUUUGCUGUCACUUAUAGAUGGAUCCGCGCCGCAUUAGCUAGUUGGUAAGGUAACGGCUUACCAAGGCGACGAUGCGUAGCCGACCUGAGAGGGUGAUCGGCCACACUGGAACUGAGACACGGUCCAGACUCCUACGGGAGGCAGCAGUAGGGAAUCUUCCGCAAUGGGCGAAAGCCUGACGGAGCAACGCCGCGUGAGUGAUGAAGGUCUUCGGAUCGUAAAACUCUGUUAUUAGGGAAGAACAAAUGUGUGAUUAACUAUGCACGUCUUGACGGUACCUAAUCAGAAAGCCACGGCUAACUACGUG
rnacentral:rRNA from 1 species